AAACUUUUGAUCUAUAUUAUAUAAAUGCCUAAGUACGAGCAUCUUUUACAUGCUGGGAUUUUAUUUUAAGUAUUUGCCUUCCCACUUUUCUUCUUUCCCUACUCCACCUACAUCAACUUGUCUCUCUCUGUCAGAAGAUCUGCCUUUCCAUAGCUGGGUGACCAGAGAUUUACUUCAUGGAGGAAUGGAGAUGGGAAUGUGUAGAAGAUUUAAAAUCCAUUGGAAAAACAGAAUGAAAGCCAUUUAAACUGGAAGUCAGUUAUAAGUGACAAGGUGAAAAAAAAAGGAGGACUAUAUCUUUUAUAGAGUCAAAUAUAAACGUUGGGCUGGAAUAAUGAGAAAGACAUAACGGCAAGACUGUGGCAAUAAGGUAAAACCAGCUGCCAUUUUUGGGAACAUUUUCUAGGUGUUGGGCACAUGCUAACUAUAGUCUUUAUCUUAUGUAUAGUGUAGUCAGAGGUGAGCCAAUUUGGAUUAUAAUAACUUCUUGAACCAUUGCAUUUCACUAUAGCCUUUAUCUAGCAUGCCAUUUAUGUCAGUUGCAUUUACAAAGACUGACAUGGAUUCUGUGCAGCUGGUACAGUGCUGAGGGCUGGGAAGGGAAUUAUUAUGACUUUUUUACUAUUCUGAAGUGCAAGCUCAUGAUGUUCUCCCCCAGAGCACUUUGAUUUAACGUCUCUGGCAAUC
rnacentral:lncRNA from 12 species